rnacentral:rRNA from 1 species
UUGGGAAUCUUGGACAAUGGGGGAAACCCUGAUCCAGCCAUGCCGCGUGAGUGAUGAAGGCCUUCGGGUUGUAAAACUCUUUCGACGGGGACGAUAAUGACGGUACCCGUAGAAGAAGCUCCGGCUAACUUCGUGCCAGCAGCCGCGGUAAUACGAAGGGGGCUAGCGUUGUUCGGAAUUACUGGGCGUAAAGCGCGCGCAGGCGGUCUUCCAAGUCAGUGGUGAAAGCCCGGAGCUCAACUCCGGAAUUGCCAUUGAAACUGUGAGACUGGAGUACGAGAGAGGUGAGUGGAAUUCCCAGUGUAGAGGUGAAAUUCGUAGAUAUUGGGAAGAACACCGGUGGCGAAGGCGGCUCACUGGCUCGUAACUGACGCUCAGGCGCGACAGCGUGGGGAUCAAACAGGAUUAGAUACCCCCGUAGUCC